GACGGAGGGGGCUAGCGUUGUUCGGAAUUACUGGGCGUAAAGCGCACGUAGGCGGCUUUGUAAGUUAACGGUGAAAGCCCGGGGCUCAACUCCGGAAUUGCCUUUAAGACUGCAUCGCUAGAAUUGUGGAGAGGUAAGUGGAAUUCCGAGUGUAGAGGUGAAAUUCGUAGAUAUUCGGAAGAACACCAGUGGCGAAGGCGACUUACUGGACACAUAUUGACGCUGAGGUGCGAAAGCGUGGGGAGCAAACAGG
rnacentral:rRNA from 1 species